GCUUACGGCCAUAUCACGUUGAAAGCACCGGUUCUCGUCCAAUCACCGAAGUUAAACAACAUCAAGCCUAAUGAGUACUUAGAUGGGUGACCACUUGGGAAACCUAGGUGCUGUAAGCA
rfam:Octopus bimaculoides Scaffold21466_contig_86, whole genome shotgun sequence.